rnacentral:rRNA from 1 species
GACGAACGCUGGCGGCGUGCUUAACACAUGCAAGUCGAACGGAAAGGCCCUGCUUUUGUGGGGUGCUCGAGUGGCGAACGGGUGAGUAACACGUGAGUAACCUGCCCUUGACUUUGGGAUAACUUCAGGAAACUGGGGCUAAUACCGGAUAGGAGCUCCUGCUGCAUGGUGGGGGUUGGAAAGUUUCGGCGGUUGGGGAUGGACUCGCGGCUUAUCAGCUUGUUGGUGGGGUAGUGGCUUACCAAGGCUUUGACGGGUAGCCGGCCUGAGAGGGUGACCGGCCCCGUUGGGACUGGACUGCGACCCAGCCUCCAAUCCGACGGGGCGGAGCAGUAGGGUGUACUAGAGGAUGGAGCCAACUGCGGCCAAGCCGUGUCCCGGGAGUGAGCCAGCGCGUUGUGUUGCACUUCCGCCUGAGACGGGACGUGAAUGACGGUACUGGGAGAAGAAGCACCGGCUAACUCCGUG